ACAACCCAACCUCCCAAUCCCAUCUCCACCUCCAGCGCUCCUCCACCCCCGCCGCCGCCACCGGCCCCUGCCGCGCGCCGCCGACCCCCUCCUUGCGGCCUAUUCCGCCGGGGCGCUACCCCUACCCCAAGUGCCCCACCCCGCGGCCUUCCACCGCCGACGACACACGACGCCGCGCCGUUGCCGGCUCCCCCUCCCCUGCUACCACGGUGCUCCGGGACUCCUCCCCGUUGCUUCGACCUCGGCGUUGGUUCCCCCAAACCCGCCGGUUUCGCCACCGGCCACAACUUCCCGGCGCACUCCACCAACCGACGGACCAGUUCGCCCGCCUCCCAUGGCUAACAUCGCUGCUACCCCAGUGUCGCUUCCCACCCCAGGGGCUCAUCUCCUCCACCUGCGCGCCACUCCCCGACCUUCCCUUUUCGCGCCGUAUGCUCCCUCCCGCUUCACUGCCUGGCAUGUGCCAGGUCCAAUCUGGACGAGCAGGACAACGUAGCCAGCCAUAUGCGCCCCUCCAAUCUGAACGGCUUGCUCUGCAUGAUGCCGCUUGCUUGCUGUGUGUGGGGUAUAUUUUUGUUGUACUCUUAAUUUGCUGUUGAUGUCAUAUGCUACAGAUUCACGUUUUUUAUGAGAUACUUGGAAUACGUGAGAGUACUGAUAUAGUAGAAACAAAGCAUGUACAGUUAGCAACACAGAAGCCCCAGAAUGUUUAAGGGGAGUUGAAUGUCAAAAACCACAACCCUGCUACUCUGAUAGUUUUCAGGCUCACAUUUUAUGGGAAAUUAUUCAGUUUGUCACUCUGUUAUGGGAUAUAAUGUCUAACAUAUCAUAAUGUUUUGGUGGAAACGGUGGUAGUUUCUGACCUUCAGAGUUUAAACUAUUUUCCUGAUGACUGAAUGAAGUUGAAACUUUGACAACGGAUGUAGCAGGGUUAGCAGAAAACAUGAUGCACGAUUGAAUUAAACAUGCAGGGUUCAAUACGCAUCUCUGAUUAUUCUUAUGUUUAUUAUUUUUAAUAAUCUACCACUUCUGGCAUCCUGUCGGUGAGUCUUCUUUUGGUCUGCAAACCAUAGUCAUUGUAGCUUUGCUCCAGUUUGCCAAUGUAUAGCUGAAUAUGAGCCAUCUACUUGCUGGAAGUGGUCACAUAUGGGGUAACUUUUAGUGGCAGGGUGAAGUAAUGGUACUGGCAUUUGUAUUACUGAAAGUACAGUAUAUACUUUGUGUUAUUUUGCAUGCUCUCUAUGUGUUCUCGUCUUGGCAGGGGAUGCUUGGUGAUAACUCCUUAAAUGCUCUGAGUAAUAAUUGAGAAUACAUAGACAAUGUCAAAUUGAAGUGUGAUAUUUGUAUGUCAUAUUUACUCCACAAUAACUUUUUAUGUGUUUUUCUCAUUCUUUUUACAUAGACGUAAUGAUUUCUUUAUGCCGCAAUGUUACUUAUGCCAUUUGGAUUUGGACAACAUGCCGCAGUGUUACUUCGAUCUCUGGAUGGUUGGUGGCCACCUUAAUUAGAAUCGUUAGGGGUAAUGUAGUUGCAAUGCAGUAUCUAUGCGUGGGCUACCGGAUGGAGUUGCAACAGCUGUUGUCAAAAGCCGGAUGUUUUGGAGAUGCCAUGUUUAAUUAAUUAAUUAAUCAUCUUUUGUGGUGCCAUUAGUUCUGAUCCUGGGCUAGGAGGAUUUAAUAUUCUUAAUCAUGUUUUCAUGCAAAUUGACCCAGUUCGUCCGUUGAUUGAUUACUGGACUCCGAGUUGCAUUGCUUAUUUUGGUAAGUGAGAACGUAUGACUGUAAUUCUGCAUACAUCAUCAUGCUAUUUCCUCCUAAUUUAUAUAUGAAGAUUAAGUGUCCUUUUUUACCUAAAAUUUACUUGAAUAUUUAACUGAGAAUUACUUCAUUGUGUGUCAUGCCUAUCUUAUUCCAUCCACAUGAUCUAUGGACCACAGAUAUAGUUCUCAAUCCAAGGAGAGUCCGAAAACUAAUAAUUUGUGUCUUGAAUAACGAAUGUACUUUUUUUGUUCUAAUCUUGAAACCUUGGCUAAUGUAAUAAUAUUGGUGUCACGGUGGUCUUCAUAGCUGUAGUGAGUACAAUCUAACAGAAGCAAAAGUCUCUAUUGAUUGUUGUAGGAGAUCCAGAAAGCGGAGCAUUGGGGCACUCUGAUUUUUAAGAAGCUCCAUGCACGUAUUAAGGCCAGUAAAUUCAAUUUGUUUUUCAUCUGCUUCUCUAUGGUCUGUUGUCCUUAUUCGAUGUGUUAUUCAGGUAUGUGUUGUUAACGCUCCUAAUUUUGGGAGAAUCAGAAAAAAAUAAGUUUUGCAAGUUACGUCAUAUUUCCAUGUUUUAGUAUGAGAUUUAGAUAUAUUGUUUCUCCGGUUCCAUAUUCAUUAUAUGUUUUUCUCCUAUAAUUGGCCUACUUGUUUACACAAGUCUGAAUUCCUAAAGGUUCAGGAGUAUUUCAAUGUUGCUAAAGAAAGAUACAAGGAUCAGUGCCGUAACAUUGUUGAAAGACAAUCAGACACAGACACCAUGCAGCAGCACUGCACCCUGCAGUUCAUGCUCUGCUCACCAUGACCUGUCUCCUCAUCAUCAGACAUACUCAUGUGUACUAGGAUCUCCUCACCAUCGAAGUUCAUGUGUCCUCUAGAUCAAGCCUAUGCAUGUGAGCUGAAGAAUUGUUUGCCUGUUCACAAUUGGUGAUUGAAGGGUGGCCGGUGACUUCCAUAAUUUUCUUGUAGUUGUUUGUUGGAUAAUCUUUAAAAUUAGGAUUGUAGAGAACUUUACAUUACUGUAAAACUUCAUCUUCUUGGUGUUGCUGCUUACAUAUUCCAUUAUGCUAACUCAGCAACACUUUUAGCAGAAAUUGGUUGUUUAUGCAGACACGCGGUGUAGUAAAAUUGAAGAUUUAGCUCCCGCAUUGCAUACUUAUGCUAUGUUGUAGUAAUGUUCUAUCCAUGAAUUAUACUCCCUC